UUCAGCGGCAGUGGUGCUUUCCCGAAUCUCAGAAUGCCUGUUAAAAGAUCACUGAAGUUGGAUGGUCUGUUAGAAGAAAAUAAAAGAGAAAAAAAUUGAAUCACCCCAGUUUAACUGAAAGCAAAGAAUCUACAACAAAAGACAAUGAUGAAUUCAUGAUGUUGCUAUCAAAAGUUGAGAAAUUGUCAGAAGAAAUCAUGGAGAUAAUGCAAAAUUUAAGUAGUAUACAGGCUUUGGAGGGCAGUAGAGAGCUUGAAAAUCUCAUUGGAAUCUCCUGUGCAUCACAUUUCUUAAAAAGAGAAAUGCAGAAAACCAAAGAACUAAUGACAAAAGUGAAUAAACAAAAACUGUUUGAAAAGAGUACAGGACUUCCUCACAAAGCAUCACGUCAUCUUGACAGCUAUGAAUUCCUUAAAGCCAUUUUAAACUGAGGCAUUAAGAAGAAAUGCACUCACCAUGAGCACCAACUUCUGCAUCUGCCUGAUCAUAUUUAAAGGAACAGAGAAAUAUUUGUAAUUAAUCUGCCCAGUAAAUACCAGCUCGUAGCAGUUGGCAGGUGCAUGUCUAGAUAAAAUUUCUUGCAGCUAAUUUAAACUUUCUACACGCACCAGUAGAUAAUCUCAAUGUAAAUAAUACAUUUCUUCUUGGCUCUUUAAUGUAAGCCAACAUGGAGAGGAAGAUCUUGACUUAUAUUCUGUACCACAUACACUUCUGUGGACUUUUAGCAUUUGUGGGUAGACUUAAUAAAGCAUGUAUAAAAGUGGC
rnacentral:lncRNA from 1 species